rnacentral:rRNA from 1 species
UACGUAGGGGGCAAGCGUUGUCCGGAAUCAUUGGGCGUAAAGCGCGCGUAGGCGGCCCGGUAAGUCCGCUCUGAAAGUCCAGGGCUCAACCCUGGAAAGCGGGUGGAUACUGCCGGGCUAGAAUCCGGAGGAGGCGAGUGGAAUUCCUGGUGUAGCGGUGAAAUGCGCAGAUAUCAGGAGGAACACCGGUGGCGAAGGCGGAUCUCUGGGCCUGUUCUGACGCUGAGGCGCGAAAGCGUGGGGAGCGAACAGG